rnacentral:rRNA from 1 species
GAUGAACGCUGGCGGCGUGCCUAAUACAUGCAAGUCGAGCGAACGGACGAGAAGCUUGCUUUUCUGAUGUUAGCGGCGGACGGGUGAGUAACACGUGGAUAACCUACCUAUAAGACUGGGAUAACUUCGGGAAACCGGAGCUAAUACCGGAUAAUAUUUUGAACCGCAUGGUUCAAAAGUGAAAGACGGUCUUGCUGUCACUUAUAGAUGGAUCCGCGCUGCAUUAGCUAGUUGGUAAGGUAACGGCUUACCAAGGCAACGAUGCAUAGCCGACCUGAGAGGGUGAUCGGCCACACUGGAACUGAGACACGGUCCAGACUCCUACGGGAGGCAGCAGUAGGGAAUCUUCCGCAAUGGGCGAAAGCCUGACGGAGCAACGCCGCGUGAGUGAUGAAGGUCUUCGGAUCGUAAAACUCUGUUAUUAGGGAAGAACAUAUAUGUAAGUAACUGUGCACAUCUUGACGGUACCUAAUCAGAAAGCCACGGCUAACUACGUG